ACAGUCCAACGAACCAUCACAAAGUGAGCACAGCCCUGCACCUAAAUGACUGAACGUUACCAAAGCCCCAGAGAGCUCUCAUGCCCCUCCCGGUCGCUGCUCCUCUCUGGAAGGUGACCACCAUCCUGACUUCUAAUAACAAAGAUGAGUUUGGACUACCUCGAACCUUGAGUCACAAAGAUGAGUUUGGACUACUUCGAACCUUGAGUCACUGGAAUCACAUGAUAAAGAAACUGAGGUAUGGAGUGUUGAAGUAACUUGCCCAAGGUUAUUCACACCACUGGUACUAGAAGGAGGGUAAAUCCACAUUUGACAGGACCCAGUAUAGAUGAAGUCAAUCUCAGUUAAUCCUCAAUUCUUCCUAAAAACUCAUUCUGGGUCUUCAGACAACCUCAACCAAUUGUCAACCAGAAAAUGUUUAAAUUUACCUAUAGCCUGGGAGCCCUAGCUUUUGUCCCACCUUUCUAAACCAAACCAAUGUAUUUCUUAAAUGUAUCUGAUUGAUGUCUCACACCUUCCUAAAACACAUAAAACCAAGCUGUGCCCUGGCCACCUUGGGCACUUGUUCUCAGGACCUCCUGAGGGCUGUGUCGUGGGCCAUGGUCCCUCAUAUUUGUCUCAGAAUAAAUCUCUUAAAAUAUUUUACAGAGUUUGACUCUUUUCAUCAAUAGCACCUAGGCACAAAGCAGAAAUGAAUAGAAAAAGAAAUGCAUGUAAUCCAUGCUUCCCUCAGCAACACCAGGUUUAGAUAGACUAUUUGUGACAAAUAAUUAGGGCAUGACUAAUAAUUUCCAUGUUAACAAGAAAUUAUUUGGUUCUGAGUCUUCAACUCACGUUUUCACUGGGAUCCUAUAAGUAUCAGAGGUGUUUGAAACACAGUGACUCCAUCUUGAACAGCGCUGGGUGAAAUAAGGCUGAGACCUUUUGGUCUGCAUUCCCAGAAAGUUAGGCAUUCUAAGUCACAGGAUGAGACAGGAGGUUGCCACAAGAUACAGGUCCCAAAGACCUUGCUUAUAAAACAGGUUGUGGUAAAGAAGCCAGCCAGACCCCACCAAAACCAAGAGUGACUUCUGGUCAUUCCCCACUGCUCACUGCAUGCUAAUGAUAAUGCAUUAGCAUGCUACAAGACACUCUCUUCAGUGCCAUGAAAGUUUACAGGUGCCAUGAUAGUUUACAGAUGCCAUGGCAACAUCUGAAAGGUACCCUAUAUGGUCUGAAAAGGGGAGGAGCCCUCAGUUCCAGGAAUUUCCCACCCCUUUCCUGGAAAACUCAUGAAUAAUCCACCCUUUGUUUAGCAUAUAACCAAAAAAUAACCAUAAAAAUGGCCAUUCAGGCCAGGCUCAGUGGAUAACGCCUGUAAUCCCAGCAUUUCAGGAGUCCAAGGCAGGCAGAUCACCUGAGGUCAGGAGUUCGAGACCAGCCUGGCCAACAUGGUGAAACUCUUUCUCUACUAAAAAUACAAAAUUAACCAGCUGGGCAUGGUGGCACGUGCCUGUAGUCCCAGCUACUCAGGUGACUGAGGCGGAAGAAUCGCUUGAACCCAGGAGGCGGCAGUUGUAGUGAGCCGAGAUCGCACCACUGCACUCCAGCCUGGGCAACAGAGUGAGACUGUGGAUAAAAGAAAGAAAGAAAGAAAAAAAAAAAA
rnacentral:lncRNA from 1 species